rnacentral:rRNA from 1 species
UAGGGAAUCUUCCACAAUGGGCGCAGCCUGAUGGAGCAACACCGCGUGAGUGAAGAAGGGUUUCGGCUCGUAAAGCUCUGUUGUUAAAGAAGAACACGUAUGAGAGUAACUGUUCAUACGUUGACGGUAUUUAACCAGAAAGUCACGGCUAACUACGUGCCAG